UCCUCCGUAAGGUAGAAUCUGAAGGAAGACGGCGGCAAACCUUCGGCCCGAGGGUCACGAACUCCAAUUGAGGCUAGCAACAGUUGGGUGAGUCUGCAGAACAAGACAAAACCCUUGCUACCGAAGGCUGUUGAAAGUAAAUGGAGCGGGUACACUCAUCAAUCGGCUAUCUA
rnacentral:ncRNA from 1 species